rnacentral:rRNA from 1 species
UACGGAGGGGGCGAGCGUUGUCCGAAUUCAUUGGGCGUAAAGCGCGUGUAGGCGGACUUCCAAGCCUGAGGUGAAAGGUUGGGGCUCAACCCCAUACAGUGCCUUGGGGACUGGUUGUCUGGAGGCAGGCAGAGGUAUGUGGAAUUCCUGGUGUAGCGGUGGAAUGCGUAGAUAUCAGGAGGAACACCCAUGGCGAAGGCAGCAUACUGGGCCUGUACUGACGCUGAGACGCGAAAGCGUGGGUAGCAAACGGG